rnacentral:rRNA from 1 species
GACGAACGCUGGCGGCGUGCUUAACACAUGCAAGUCGAACGGAAAGGCCCUGCUUUUGUGGGGUGCUCGAGUGGCGAACGGGUGAGUAACACGUGAGUAACCUGCCCUUGACUUUGGGAUAACUUCAGGAAACUGGGGCUAAUACCGGAUAGGAGCUCCUGCUGCAUGGUGGGGGUUGGAAAGUUUCGGCGGUUGGGGAUGGACUCGCGGCUUAUCAGCUUGUUGGUGGGGUAGUGGCUUACCAAGGCUUUGACGGGUAGCCGGCCUGAGAGGGUGACCGGCCACAUUGGGACUGAGAUACGGCCCAGACUCCUACGGGAGGCAGCAGUGGGGAAUAUUGCACAAUGGGGGGAAGCCUGAUGCGGCAACGCCGCGUGCGGGAUGACGGCCUUCGGGUUGUAAACCGCUUUCGCCUGUGACGAGGCGUGAGUGACGGUAAUGGGUAAAGAAGCACCGGCUAACUACGUG